rnacentral:piRNA from 1 species
UGGAGUGAUGAUGGCUGUGAACAGUAAAGU